rnacentral:rRNA from 1 species
CCUACGGGAGGCAGCAGUGAGGAAUAUUGGACAAUGGGCGCAAGCCUGAUCCAGCCAUGCCGCGUGCAGGAAGACGGUCCUAUGGAUUGUAAACUGCUUUUGUACAGGAAGAAACACUCCCUCGUGAGGGAGCUUGACGGUACUGUAAGAAUAAGGAUCGGCUAACUCCGUGCCAGCAGCCGCGGUAAUACGGAGGAUCCAAGCGUUAUCCGGAAUCAUUGGGUUUAAAGGGUCCGUAGGCGGUUUAAUAAGUCAGUGGUGAAAUCUGGUCGCUCAACGAUCAAACGGCCAUUGAUACUGUUAGACUUGAAUUAUUAGGAAGUAACUAGAAUAUGUAGUGUAGCGGUGAAAUGCUUAGAUAUUACAUGGAAUACCAAUUGCGAAGGCAGGUUACUACUAAUGGAUUGACGCUGAUGGACGAAAGCGUGGGGAGCGAACAGGAUUAGAUACCCUGGUAGUCCACGCCGUAAACGAUGGAUACUAGCUGUUCGGAGCAAUCUGAGUGGCUAAGCGAAAGUGAUAAGUAUCCCACCUGGGGAGUACGUUCGCAAGAUGAAACCUNAAAGAUGACGNNGNGAGNGCGAGACGACGACGAGGAGGAGG